AGUGAACGCUGGCGGUAGGCCUAACACAUGCAAGUCGAACGGCAGCACAGGAGAGCUUGCUCUCUGGGUGGCGAGUGGCGGACGGGUGAGGAAUACAUCGGAAUCUACUCUGUCGUGGGGGAUAACGUAGGGAAACUUACGCUAAUACCGCAUACGACCUACGGGUGAAAGCAGGGGACCUUCGGGCCUUGCGCGAUGGAAUGAGCCGAUGUCGGAUUAGCUAGUUGGCGGGGUAAAGGCCCACCGAGGCGACGAUCCGUAGCUGGUCUGAGAGGAUGAUCAGCCACACUGGAACUGAGACACGGUCCAGACUCCUACGGGAGGCAGCAGUGGGGAAUAUUGGACAAUGGGCGCAAGCCUGAUCCAGCCAUACCGCGUGGGUGAAGAAGGCCUUCGGGUUGUAAAGCCCUUUUGUUUGGAAAGAAGUCCAGCUGGCUAAUACCCGGUUGGGAUGACGGUACCCAAAGAAUAAGCACCGGCUAACUUCGUGCCAGCCGCCGCCGUAA
rnacentral:rRNA from 1 species